AUUGAACGCUGGCGGCAUGCUUUACACAUGCAAGUCGAACGGCAGCGCGGGCUUCGGCCUGGCGGCGAGUGGCGAACGGGUGAGUAAUGCAUCGGAACGUGCCCAGUAGUGGGGGAUAGCCCGGCGAAAGCCGGAUUAAUACCGCAUACGACCUGAGGGUGAAAGCGGGGGACCGAAAGGCCUCGCGCUAUUGGAGCGGCCGAUGUCGGAUUAGCUAGUUGGUGGGGUAAAGGCUUACCAAGGCGACGAUCCGUAGCUGGUCUGAGAGGACGACCAGCCACACUGGGACUGAGACACGGCCCAGACUCCUACGGGAGGCAGCAGUGGGGAAUUUUGGACAAUGGGCGCAAGCCUGAUCCAGCCAUGCCGCGUGCGGGAAGAAGGCCUUCGGGUUGUAAACCGCUUUUGUUCGGGAAGAAAUCCUCUGAGCUAAUACCCCGGGGGGAUGACGGUACCGGAAGAAUAAGCACCGGCUAACUACGUG
rnacentral:rRNA from 1 species